CCCUUAGAGUUUGAUCAUGGCUCAGAUUGAACGCUGGCGGCAGGCCUAACACAUGCAAGUCNAGCGGAUGAUGGGAGCUUGCUCCCGGAUUCANCGGCGGACGGGUGAGUAAUGCCUAGGAAUCUGCCUGGUAGUGGGGGACAACGUUUCGAAAGGAACGCUAAUACCGCAUACGUCCUACGGGAGAAAGCAGGGGACCUUCGGGCCUUGCGCUAUCAGAUGAGCCUAGGUCGGAUUAGCUAGUUGGUGGGGUAAAGGCCUACCAAGGCGACGAUCCGUAACUGGUCUGAGAGGAUGAUCAGUCACACUGGAACUGAGACACGGUCCAGACUCCUACGGGAGGCAGCAGUGGGGAAUAUUGGACAAUGGGCGAAAGCCUGAUCCAGCCAUGCCGCGUGUGUGAAGAAGGUCUUCGGAUUGUAAAGCACUUUAAGUUGGGAGGAAGGGCAGUAAGUUAAUACCUUGCUGUUUUGACGUUACCAACAGAAUAAGCACCGGCUAACUUCGUGCCAGCAGCCGCGGUAAUACGAAGGGUGCAAGCGUUAAUCGGAAUUACUGGGCGUAAAGCGCGCGUAGGUGGUUUGGUAAGAUGGAUGUGAAAUCCCCGGGGCUCAACCUGGGNAACUGCAU
rnacentral:rRNA from 1 species